rnacentral:rRNA from 1 species
UACGGAGGGUGCAAGCGUUAUCCGGAUUCACUGGGUUUAAAGGGUGUGUAGGCGGAUUUGUAAGUACCUUGUGAAAUCCCACAGCUUAACUGUGGAACUGCUUGGUAUACUGCUUAUCUUGGGCCACUUAGGGGUUACCGGAACAAACGGUGGAGCGGUGAAAUGCGUAGAUAUCGUUUGGAACGCCAAUGGUGAAAACAGGUAACUGGGAGUGUGCCGACGCUAAGACACGAAAGCCAGGGGAGCGAACGGG